CGGACGGGUGAGUAAUGUAUAGGAACUUGCCUAGUAGUGGGGGAUAACGUGUGGAAACGCACGCUAAUACCGCAUACGCUCUACGGAGGAAAGCGGGGGAUCUUCGGACCUCGUGCUACUAGAUGGGCCUAUAUCAGAUUAGCUAGUUGGUAAGGUAAUGGCUUACCAAGGCGACGAUCUGUAGCUGGUUUGAGAGAAUGAUCAGCCACACUGGGACUGAGACACGGCCCAG
rnacentral:rRNA from 1 species